AUUGAACGCUGGCGGCAUGCCUUACACAUGCAAGUCGAACGGCAGCACGGGGCAACCUGGUGGCGAGUGGCGAACGGGUGAGUAAUGCAUCGGAACGUGCCAUUGAGUGGGGGAUAACGUAGCGAAAGUUGCGCUAAUACCGCAUAUUCUGUGAGCAGGAAAGCAGGGGACCGCAAGGCCUUGCGCUCUUUGAGCGGCCGAUGUCAGAUUAGCUAGUUGGUGAGGUAACGGCUUACCAAGGCGACGAUCUGUAGCGGGUCUGAGAGGAUGAUCCGCCACACUGGAACUGAGACACGGUCUAGACUCCUACGGGAGGCAGCAGUGGGGAAUUUUGGACAAUGGGCGCAAGCCUGAUCCAGCCAUGCCGCGUGAGUGAAGAAGGCCU
rnacentral:rRNA from 1 species